AUGAGCAGGACUGAGGUGGGGAGAAGCUACAUAACUUGCCCAGGUCACCCACCCAGCAGGGAGCAAGGCGUGGUUGUCUGGCUCUGGACCGGUCGCUCAGAACCACAAACGCACGAUGAACCCGCCCUGAUCUGCUCCCCGCCCCAGGCUUCCUGCACCUUGGUCGGCCGUGCUCCCUGCUGUGCCCUGAUGCCAGGAGCAGGGCCUGGCACAACAAGGCCACCGCGGGGACGUGCUGGUGAACGUGCAUCAAAUAUCAGAAAAUCCAACCAAAGUGUCUUCAAGAAUUGUAAAAAGAAGUGUUAGCAAGUGAUGGAGCCCAGAGGCAGAGUGAGUCAAUUCAGCAACUCAGUGACACAUCUCUUGGCUCUGCUGUCUGCUACACAAAUGUCAUCACGGUUCCGACACAGCACCCGGAACAGAGGCUGCAGGCGUCCUUGUACCCACCCUGUGCUUUAGAAGCAAGUCAUAGAAUGCCCCCAGCAUCCCAUUCCUUCGCGGGUCCCCCACUGUGUGAGGAAGAAGAGUUGGUCUCUUAGUCUUGUCCGUCUACUUACGUUCACUUGAACUUCCACAGUCCUUGGUUUAUGGUCUGGGCUGCAGACAACAUCAGCAGGACCAGAUGACAGAGGACUCCCCUUUCUCACAGUAGGAUGGGUGGCUGGGCCUGGGUCAGGUGCUCCUCGGUGACAGGCACUGGGGCAGGUUCCCCAGGUAUCAUCUGGUGCCUCCAGAGACCUCAGGGAAUGAACGUAUGAUCGAAGAGUUUCAUACCCAGUCAAGUUGGCGUAAAGGCGAGUCAUUUUAAACACGUGCCGUCACUCCGGAAAAAUUACAGUAAUGACAUCGUGGUCUUUACCAUGUGAAAGCAACUCCCAGCCACUCACCAUCACUCAUCUUCUUGGAGCCUGCAGCAACUGGGAGAGGGCUGGUCCUGCCAGGUGAGAAAGGGAGGUGGGGCCCCACUGUGCGGUCACCAGCUAGAGGGAGGCGAAGGGCCCCUCCCCACCGCCCCACCUGAGCCUCUGGCCCUUGGCUGAGAACCUACUGAAUGAAGGUGUGGAUGCGUGAACGGACCACACGUUUCAGAGCUCCCAGAGCCAAGAGGUGUGUGUUCUUGUGCACGUGGCAUCAACCCUGCCCGGGGAGGCGACUCUUGGGGUGGCCGGUGGCGAUUCAGGGGGUGGGGGAGCCACCCUAGGGUCCGUGGUGGACCUCUUGCUGGGACUAGGCGGCGUGAAGGGCAAAUCCUGGGUCUCGGUCACGGCUGGGCACGAUGGGCGGAGAGGCAGCCUGGUCUCUGCCCUGGGGCCCCUGGACCUGGUCUCUUAUCAUGGCAGUUCACUCACCUACUCAGCGGGCACAGUGAGCCUCUGCCCUUAGAGCCGCCGGGCAGCUCUGGAAGCCACGGUGAUGAGGAAGCCGCGCCUGGUGGGGCACGACCAGGGCCGGGGGUGGGGGUCCUCUUCGGGCGGCGGGGGUCAGGCGAGGCCUCAUCACACGGGGUGUCUGAGCCGGUCCUCAGCCCCCCAGGAGGUCAAGUUGCAUGGGGCCCGGCGCCCCUCCUGUUCCUCAUGACGCUGGGCCCCAGGACUUGCCCAGAGCGGCCUGGGCACCCUGCACACGGGUGUGUCCAGCUGGAAACCCCGCUGGAAGGAGUAACGGGGACUCAGACUCCCAGGGACGGACAAGGUUUUAUCUGCAAUAAUGUCACUUCAACACACACAUCGGCCGGAGACACGCUUAUGCUCCUAUAGCCCUCGUAACUUAUAAAACGCCAAUAAAAUUCAAAUUAGACAGAGGGAAGCCCACGAAACGAAUACAGUUUAGAUUAAUAAUAUAAUUAAAGGGUUAAUUUAAUGUGAAGGAUGAUUCUAAAACUUGUGGUAAAAUAAUACACAACAUAAAGUUCACCCUCUUCACUCACAGUGUUGUCCACCAUCAUCCCAACCAUC